rnacentral:sRNA from 1 species
UGGUAAGCAUUAGUCUAUACAGGCUAGGG